AAAGAAAAUAACAAUGAUUCCCCUAGUAACGGCGAGCGAAGAGGGAAUAGCUCAAAUUUUAAAUCUGUUGGGUCUUACCUAACCGAGUUGUAAUUUGAAGAAGCGUUUUCUGCGUGUUUGAUUUAGCCCAAAUCCUUUGGGAUAAGGUAUCAUGGAGGGUGAGAAUCCCGUCCGGCCUAAUCAAAUGUGCUUUACGAUACGUUUUCUAAGAGUCGAGUUGUUUGGGAUUGCAGCUCAAAAUGGGAGGUAAAUUUCUCCUAAGGCUAAAUAUAGGCGAGAGACCGAUAGCGAACAAGUACCGUGAGGGAAAGAUGAAAAGAACUUUGAAAAGAGAGUUAAACAGUACGUGAAAUUGUUGAAAGGGAAACGAUUAAAGUCAGUCGUACUAACGGGGAAUCAACCUUUUGAGGGUGGAAUUGUGGGAUUCAGAGUGCCUUUGUCUUUCACAACCUGCUUUCUUUGGGUGCACUUUCUCGUAUUGUAGGUCAGCAUCGGUUUCGACCGUUAUAAAAUGACUGGAGGAAUGUAGCUUCGAUCUCGUAUUGAAGUGUUAUAGCCUUUGGUAGAUGUAACGGAUGGGAUCGAGGAUUGCAAUGAAUACCCUCAUGGGCUAUCCGCCUGGCCUCUGACAUGUAACUCUGGUGCCGAAAGCUUGCUUAUGGUAUUAUAGUGUACGGUCAAAAGGUUAGAACGGAUUAAAUU
rnacentral:rRNA from 1 species